rnacentral:tRNA from 45 species
GGAGUAUUAGCUCAGCGGGAGAGCACCACGUUGACAGCGUGGGGGUCACUGGUUCGAUCCCAGUAUACUCCACCA